rnacentral:rRNA from 1 species
GACGAACGCUGGCGGCGUGCCUAAUACAUGCAAGUAGAACGCACAGUUUAUACCGUAGCUUGCUACACCAUAGACUGUGAGUUGCGAACGGGUGAGUAACGCGUAGGUAACCUGCCUGGUAGCGGGGGAUAACUAUUGGAAACGAUAGCUAAUACCGCAUAAUAUUAAUUAUUGCAUGAUAAUUGAUGGAAAGAUGCAACGGCAUCACUACCAGAUGGACCUGCGUUGUAUUAGCUAGUAGGUGAGGUAACGGCUCACCUAGGCGACGAUACAUAGCCGACCUGAGAGGGUGAUCGGCCACACUGGGACUGAGACACGGCCCAGACUCCUACGGGAGGCAGCAGUAGGGAAUCUUCGGCAAUGGACGAAAGUCUGACCGAGCAACGCCGCGUGAGUGAAGAAGGUUUUCGGAUCGUAAAGCUCUGUUGUAAGAGAAGAACGGGUGUGAGAGUGGAAAGUUCACACUGUGACGGUAUCUUACCAGAAAGGGACGGCUAACUACGUG